UACGGCCACAUCACAUUGAAACCCCAGUUCCCGUAUGAUCACCAAAGUUAAGCAAAAUCGAACCUGGUCAGUAUGAAAAUGGGUGGCCAUUUCGGAAUAGCAGGUGCUGUAAU